CUGCUUUGGUUAAGAGGUUUCUUCAUGAGAAGCCCUAAGACAGUCCCACUUUUGCAGGGGGGAUGCAAUCUCAACUGCCUUGAGAUGAGGGGCAAAGCUUUGAUCAUUUCUAUUCAGCACUGACUUGGCCUGAGACUGAGGUUCCCAGUCUAGAAGUCAGCAGGCUGUCUUUUCACUUUCUUCACAGAGGCACACACGCACGCACGCAAACAUAUGCUCUCCCUCUCCCUCGCUCCCUUACGCGCACACACACACCCUCCUUUGCUGGUCUAAGCAGGCAGCUUAGUUGUCACAGCUAUAACCAAGGCAUAGUGCACUGAACACAGCAGCACCUCCAGUCUCCGUGGUGGGAAGAGGGGGCACGGAAGGUGACGACAAUGGAGAAGCCUCAGUCCACUUGCAAGUUUAGAAACUACAGGUUUAUCGAACGGUUCAUCGAUCCUUCUGAGUUGAAUCCACUUAGAGGAAAAUGGCUGCAGGAAAUCUUCUCGUAUAUUCCAGUCAGCCCCACAGAAUGGGGCUGCUUUCUUCAGGAUUUAACACAGCUUUUCAGCAAUGUUGUGAAUGGAAGAAUAUUUGCCAUGCAUGUGUAAAUUGUAGGAGACGUCUAAAAGAAUUUUAUAGAUCUCCAGUCAUGGGUGCGCACAAUGUCACUCAACUUUACUGCCAGUGGGUGAUUGAUCGUGCCCGCCAGCUGCCUAAUAUCAUAAUUAACAAAGUUGCUACCGUGUCUGAGAAGUUUAAUCGAAAAAAAUUGCCAGCAGUAUGAUGCCAUUGUCGCCCACAAAGAUCACAAGCGUGGCAGAGUCGACUUUUGGACUAAUGGAGCUGCAGAACUAUGUGGCUAGAAUGAGAAGCACUGCACCUGAAUGGCUAAUGAAGAAGAAAUGCAGCAGUGGCGGCUGAUAUUCUUCCCUUACUCAGGAUAUUGUUCUGAAUUGAAAUACUAUUUCUUGAUCAGAAAUGUGCUUUCCGCAUCAUCAGUUAAAGAUAGGCUAGUAAAAAGGAACAUGAUUUAGUUUGGACAAAGCUGUUCAAAUGGCAAAAUCGCUUUCCAGAAUCCAGAGAAGAAUAUUCUUCAAAGGAAUUUCAAAAGUAAGAGUGAGCCUGAGAUGAAACAGGUUUUGCUGCACAAUCAAACUGUGAAAACUACAGCCAUGAAAGGCCCUCCAUUUAUUGCAUUCUCCAAAAAUGUGAUAUUAGCAUGGGAGGCUAAGCUGGAGGCUAAUAAUGAAGGAGUCAGUAAAGGAGGCCAGUGCCAUGGGGGUUAUCUCACAGCCCCAGAUGAUGGCUAAGUUGAAGAAGGCAGAAUCGCUUUUGGAUGACAUUCAGGUCUGAAUGAUGAUUUAGAGAAGAAAAGGCUAUUCUUUCCAAGGUAAACAGUCCAUUUCAUCUGUCGGCUGUAUAUAUCGGUCUAAAAUAUGUUUAUAUAGAUAUCUGUAAAAUUUACUUUUAUCACUUUCAGGUUUUUUUCUUUCCAUGUGACAGUGAGCUUUUAGCAAUGUAUUUCUGAGACAAAAGAUGCACUGCGGACUCAGCCACACCUAAAGGGAAGCUUUGAAAGAAUUGCCAGGUUCACUUUUAAUAAUGAGAUAAAAAAUUGCCCACAUGGAGUCAGCAGAAAAUGAACCAGCGGCAGGCCUGCUGCAAAUAAUUCCAGCAAGGGCCAAGAGACUAGUUGAAAAAUGACUUCAUGAGGUGAAUAUCCUUAGUUCUUACUUACGGUUUAGUAACCAUGCAAUCAUUUUCUCUUUUAGGAGCCAUGAAUGAAAGCGUAUUUCAGCACAAGUGCAUCUCCACGCUAAAUGGCCCUCUGAACAUUUGUCAUUUGUGUUGAGUCUCUUUGACAGACCAGCUCUCCUUAUUGCUGUAAUUUAUGACAACUAGUUUAAUAUAUGUAAAUAGGCACAAAUAGCCGUCAAAAGGCUCCCAGAGUGGGAGACUUAAUAAAUGUGUGUGUCUGAAGCAUCUAUGUGAAUGUGUGUCCGUGUCUUUGUUUGUCUCCUUGCUUCCUUGUGGCAAUUUUGUCAUCCUUCGUAGCUUACAUUUUUCAAAGGGAGAUGCUUAGAGGUGCACAUUGUGGUUUCAAUUCUUCCUAAGACAAGUUAAAUAUAUGAACAUAUUUAACUUGGGUUCUGUAACUAAACUUUAAUUUCCAAUACAUGUAUGCUUAAGAGGACACAACUGGCAUACAUGGUGAUAUGUUAAGUAUUACUAUCUGGGCCCCUCCAACAAAUGAAUAAUCAGUUUUCAGUGCAAACUAAGCUUGAGAAUCAAUCUAUCAUUGGGUCGUAGCCACUUUUGCUUUAUUUUGCCCCAUAAACAAGCACAUAAUCAAAACAAGUUUUCUGAAAUA